GAUGAACGCUGGCGGCGUGCUUAACACAUGCAAGUCGAACGAAGCACUUUAUUUGAUUUCCUUCGGGACUGAUUAUUUUGUGACUGAGUGGCGGACGGGUGAGUAACGCGUGGGUAACCUGCCUUGUACAGGGGGAUAACAGUUGGAAACGGCUGCUAAUACCGCAUAAGCGCACGGCAUCGCAUGAUGCAGUGUGAAAAACUCCGGUGGUAUAAGAUGGACCCGCGUUGGAUUAGCUAGUUGGUGAGGUAACGGCCCACCAAGGCGACGAUCCAUAGCCGGCGGGAGAGGGUGACCGGCCAGAUUGGGACUGGGACACGGCCCAAACUCCUGCGAGAGGCAGCAGUGGGGAAUAUUGCACAGGGGGCGAAAGCCUGAUGCAGCGAGGCCGGGUGAGCGAAGAAGUAUUUCGGUAUGUAAAGCGCUAUCAACAGAGAGGAUAAGGACGGUACCGGAAUAGGAACAACCGCCUAAAUACGU
rnacentral:rRNA from 1 species